UGUUUGGCCUUGUUACAGACACACUAGGUGACACACACAGGUUUAAAUGGCAAUUAAAGGUUAAUUUCCCACACCUGUGGCUUUUUAAAUUGCAAUUAGUGUCUGUGUGUAAAUAGUCAAUGAGUUUGUUAGCUCUCACGUGGAUGCACUGAGCAGGCUAGAUACUGAGCCAUGGGGAGCAGAAAAGAACUGUCAAAAGACCUGCGUAACAAGGUAAUGGAACUUUAUAAAGAUGGAAAAGGAUAUAAAAAGAUAUCCAAAGCCUUGAAAAUGCCAGUCAGUCCUGUUCAAUCACUUAUUAAGAAGUGGAAAAUUCGGGGAUCUCUUGAUACCAAGCCAAGGUCAGGUAGACCAAGAAAGAUUUCAGCCACAACUGCCAGAAGAAUUGUUCGGGAUACAAAGAAAAACCCACAGGUAACCUCAGGAGAAAUACAGGCUGCUCUGGAAAAAGACGGUGUGGUUGUUUAAAGGAGCACAAUAUGACGAUACUUGAACAAAUAUGAGCUGCAUGGUCCAGUUGCAAGAAAGAAGCCUUUACUGCGCCAAUGCCACAAAAAAGCCCGGUUACAAUAUGCCCGACAACACCUUGACACACCUCACAGCUUCUGGCACACUGUAAUUUGGAGUGACGAGACCAAAAUAGAGCUUUAUGGUCACAAACAUAA